ensembl:snoRNA
AGGUCAUUUCAAAGAGGGCCAGUGGGACCGAACCCAGGCGCUCUUAACGCUGUGACUGAAGAUUGAGUUCUCCAUUAGGCUCAGGAGUCACUCGGUGGCGCUGUGUUUCCUGGCGGAGAUACAGAA